ACAGAGUCUGCCGAAAAUCUGACGAUAACAGAGUAGGCA
ncrna:unclassified sequences DTF805b RNA